UACAGAGGCCCCAAGCAUUAUCCGGAAUCAUUGGGCGUAAAGGGUGUCAAGGCGGUUAUGUUAGUCGUUCGUAAAAUCCAGGAGCUCAACUUCUGGCCCGCGAGCGAAACGGCAUAACUUGAGGUUUGGAGAGGUAUGUGGAACUCACGGUGUAGGGGUGAAAUCCGUUGAUAUCGUGGGGAACACCAAAGGCGAAGGCAACAUACUGGCCAAAAUCUGACGCUCACACACGAAAGCCAGGGUAGCGAACGGG
rnacentral:rRNA from 1 species